GACGAACGCUGGCGGCGUGCUUAACACAUGCAAGUCGAACGGAAAGGCCCUGCUUUUGUGGGGUGCUCGAGUGGCGAACGGGUGAGUAACACGUGAGUAACCUGCCCUUGACUUUGGGAUAACUUCAGGAAACUGGGGCUAAUACCGGAUAGGAGCUCCUGAUGCAUGGUGGGGGUUGGAAAGAUUCGGCGGUUGGGGAUGGACUCGCGGCUUAUCAGCUUGUUGGUGGGGUAGUGGCUUACCAAGGCUUUGACGGGUAGCCGGCCUGAGAGGGUGACCGGCGACAUGGGGACUGAGAUACGGCCCAGACUCCUACGGGAGGCAGCAGUGGGGAAUAUUGCAGAAUGGGCGGAAGCCUGAUGCAGCAACGCCGCGUGCGGGAUGACGGCCUUCGGGUUGUAAACCGCUUUCGCCUGUGACGAAGCGUGAGUGACGGUAAUGGGUAAAGAAGCACCGGCUAACUACGUG
rnacentral:rRNA from 1 species